ensembl:lncRNA
CGGCGCCCGGCGCGCGAGCCCUUUAAGAGCUCCACCAGCCGAGCUGCAGUUUGACAUCAGCCGGCCGGCGAGGGCGCGCCUGGAGUCGGAGCACGUGCCAGGAUGUUUUAUUGCCGCCGCGGCUGCGGCCGGGGCCCAGAGGAUGUGUGUGUGCGUGCGUGUGUGAGUGUGUGUGCGCGCGCCCCGGGGGCAGGGAGGCGGAGGCCGGCGGCGGGCGGCCGGGAGCGGGGGCCGCCUCUAGUCCCCGGGAGAAGCCAAGAAGGGAGGAGCUUCUUGCUGCCCACACAUUUUGGCUAGCCUUUAUUUGCUGGCAGAAAGGGUACAGAGCUUGGUGUGGCCUUGAUUUCCUUGCAGUGAGUCCUGGCUCACAGAGCAGAAUCAUAUGCAUGGCACCAAGAGUGUCUGAAAAAAAUGUGCGCCAGGAUAUGGGGUGCCCUUCUCCCACUUUGCCCAGCUCAAGGGCACAGGGUACCCAGGACUCCAGAAGAACGCUCAAACAAAGAAACAAAAAGUCCCAGACUUACUUACAAAAGUAAGUAAGAUUGGUGGAAAAGAUAAACAUCUAAGACCUUUCUGGCUCGCUCCUCGUCUGUGUGGGUGGCUUCAGCUGGGGCACACUGGGGACAAGAGGCAGUGCUGUUCGUAGUAGUCAGCGAGACCGGCAUAACCUGGGACACAUGAUUGUUCUUGUUCCUGUGGCCUCUGGCUAUACUAGAUUGUUCAUUCAGCCAUCUAGAGGCCUUCCGAAGAGAAAUGAGACAUGAUUCGUGUUUGACACCUGUGGGAGGUGAUGCCGUCCAUACACGGUCCGUCACGGGAUGAGCUCCAGUUUCGUCGCCGUCGUCGUUGUGGUAGGGUCCAAACUGGACUUGGACUUUGGAUCCUUCCACCUUCUACUCCUCAACUGGAAGGGUUAUAGACGUGUGACCCCCAUGUCAAGCUUGAGCCCCAAUUUUUUAACCAAGAAGCUUUAAUUCAGCACAUAGGACAGGAAGAAAGGAUGGAGAGGCUCACUGACAAGUGUACUUUCAGUGUGAUCCGCUGGACUUGGUUUUGUCUUCGAUAGGGCCGUUGUUCUCCGGACAUCCCCAUCCCCGUGGGUCAGUUUGCUCCCUGGUGUGGCUACAGAGCAGUAAUCCUACCUCAGCCGCUUGUAUCUGCCAGCCCUGGCUGAGAAGGUACAUUUCCCUUUGGUGGGUGAAUAUUAAGAAGUCAGGUGUUCCGUGCAAAUCUCAGGCCAUUGUUCCAUAGCUGGCAGAGGCCUCCAGGAAGGAAGGCCUCCCACCUGAAUAUCGGCCCCGUGAGCCUUGAACUCGACAAGUCUCGAAUGCUUAGGAAGGUGACGUUAUUUUAAGGAACAGGUCAAAGUGCUGGGGAUAGAAUUCAGAACCUUUAAAAAAUGUGUAUCAGCCUGCUUCAGCUUAUAUCAUCAUCACCACCACCACCACCACCACCACCACCAUCAUCACCACCAUCACCAUCAUCACCAUCAUCACCACCAUCAUCAUCACCACCAUCAUCACCAUCAUCACCGCCAUCAUCAUCACCACCACCACCAUCACCAUCAUCAUCAUCACCACCAUCAUCAUCAUCAUCACCAUCACCAUCAUCAUCCUAUGUAUGGGUGUUUUGUCUGAAUGUGUGUCUGUGUACCACAUGGGUGCACGGCGUCCUUGCAUCUCCUGGCACUGAGGUUACAGCCCGUUGUGAACUGGCACGGGGGUGUUAGAACUGAACUCAGAUCCACUGGAAGAGCAGCCAUUGCUCUCAGGCGCUGAGCCAUCUCUCCAACCCCGUUCAGCUCUUUAAAGAAUCUCUCUGGUUGCUCUGAGGUAGACAGAGAUGAAGGCAAGGAGACCAUGGUAGUACUAAUUUGGGUAGAGGCGUAGAUGGCUUGGACCAGAAUGGUAGCCGGAAAGGGACUGGACUGGUUUGUACAAGAAAAGUAAGCUGAUCACGGCUGCAGCUCUCCCAGGUGGCCGGACGUGAGGCCUCUACCCUCCCUCCUGGUGUGGGGCUGUAGCGGGCUCCUUAACUCUCUCUAUUGCCCGUCAUUGAAACCUUCCAUAACCUGCACAUUUUCCUUUAUACUUCACGCAGAUUCAUCGUUCCUUUAAUAUAAAACUCCUAUCUUUGCCUCUCCCUCUGCCCAACCCUUUAAGUAAAACGCAAUUUCCCCGUUUCCUUUCACUGUGGCACUUUGUACUCUG